UAGCGUAGGGUGCGAGCGUUAAUCGGAAUUACUGGGCGUAAAGUGUGCGCAGGCGGCUGCCGACAAGUCGAGUGUGAAAAUCCCCCGAGCUUAACUUGGGAAUUGCGCUCGAAACUAGGGAGCUGGAGUGUGGCAGAGGAAGGUGGAAUUCCACGUGUAGCGGUGAAAUGCGUAGAUAUCGGGAGGAACAUCAGUGGCGAAGGCGGCCCUCUGGUCCAGUACUGACACUCAAGUGCGAAAGCGUGGGGAGCAAACAGG
rnacentral:rRNA from 1 species